GAUAUUAACAUCUUGUCCUGGUUUAUACACUGGCUUAUCAGUUUCAAGGAACGUUAUUAUAGAAUCGUGUUCGAUAUAAACUUCUUUCUCCGAAUCUACAGAAUAAUCGGGAUGUUUGUCGAACUUCAUUUUCAAUUGAAGUCUCGCAUUGGAAUAUUUCGUUGAUGGUACCAUUAACUCCAAGCAUGUUUCCACGCCUAUUUCAUAAAUUGAUCAUUAACGGACAAUCAAUGUGUUAAGUUAUAAGUUGUUGAAUUUUGAUAGAAGUGUCCUAAAUUAUUCAAAUGAUAAUUCUCUUCAUACUAAUGCACAUUUAAAGAACCCUAUCACCAAUACAGAUAUCGUUUGUUCGACGAAUCGCUAUAAAGACUGAUGAUUCAACUGAGCGCGAUAAUCCAAUUAAUUAUUAUUUCUGCAAUUACGUUUGCACGAGACAAUAUACGAGGAAGAUAAUCACUUGAAUAAAUUGAGUGAGUUAAUCGAGAGACGAUGUAAGUGCAGGAUACGAUUGUUUAGAUUUUUCUAUUAAUAUCACUCCCAGAUGUACGAUCGGAUCUAUAUUUGGCUUUAUUUUAUCGAUCAUUUGAAUUAACUUUGAUAACAUUCGAAACCCCAAUGCUGAUAUUCUCCGUAUAUUUUACGCGAUAACAAUGCCGAUGGGUUUCCCAUGUGAUCUAACGAUUGAUUAUUUCCCCUCCAACAAGGGACUUAGCCAAUUCAGCUCCCUCACAGGAAGCGACGACAAUUUCAAUUUACAAUUUGUUUAAAGAGCCUUACGUGACAUAUAGAAAGAUAGAGGUAAUUGAAGAGGGGAGUAAAGACGUAUGUGUGUGUGUGUUUGUAUUUGUGUUUGUGAGAAAAAUAGUGAGAUAAAAAUAGAGAGAACGAGAAACAGGAGAAAGAUAUUUAAUACAAAUAUUAAUCAUAUAAAAAAGAAGUCAAACUUUUUACAUGUGAUUGAUAACUUUCGAUAAAAUUACGUGGAAGCAAAUCUUCAGCCGUGGCAAAGAUGAAAUUUUGUUUUCUUUUUAAGCGUGUUUAUAAUCAUUCUACUUGCCAGACUUUAUGGUGGUACUAGCGCUUGCCAAUAUUUCUCUUUCUGGAGAUAACAAUUCAAGAAGUAUGUGCGCUGGUGGUUCUAAAUUGUGCAGAGACAAACAUCCGCUUUCGGUCUCCCCGGCUAAAAAUCUUUUUGGUGCCGUGAACACAUAUCCUCUGUAAAAAAUUAAAAGAAAUAACGCAAAAAAA